ACACCUCCCAAACAAACGCCCCAACCAAACGCCUCUCCUGCCCUUCACCCUUUCUAUAAAAGCAUCUCUUCGUCUCCGUCCCUUCUAUUCAUGAACAGCAGGAGAGAGUAGCCUAGUCCGGCCUCUCCUCGCAGAUUCCCCUUCCUCGGGCUCUCCUGCCGAUUUCGUGCAUGUUUUCUGCGUCUUUGCUCUUUGGUCCGGGGUCGGAUGGUUGGAUUGGAAGCGGAGCUCCUAUCUUUCCAAUGAAGGGUCCGUUCGCUGGGUUGGUACAGCUGCUCGUUCAUGGUUCCCACUAUCCUAUCUCAUCACCUGAGGUUUAUCCGAGACAAAGAGUGAGAUGAGCGGCCUGGUGUUUGGCUUGAGAUAGGCUUUGUGGCUUGCAUGACCGAGGAGCUGCAACGUCCCCACGCUGGCCGCUCUUUGGAUUGAAGGGAGCUCUGCGUCUUGAUCCCAUCAGCCCCCCUGCUUCGGUUUGUGCGCCCUACUAAUGAUGACCGCUACAUAGGAUUGCAUGCUUAACCAGCGCUCCUUCUGCUCGAUUUAUUUGCUAAUCCGUGUGUUCCAUGCGUAGAUCUGGAAUUAGUAGCCAUGCAGACCUGUUCUAUUCUUACAAUCUUUUUUUCUUAUCGUCUACUAAGCUUGCUUGGCCAACUCACCUUCAUUUGUUUAUUCUGCAUAUUAUCUCUUCUCCUGAAUCAAACAGCUCGCCUGGGCUUAUCCGUGCUGCUGGAGGCUACUAGCAGGUAAGCAGGUGCUUUGACGUCGCUUUAUUCCUUUGCUGGUGAGAUGUUACGUCAUCCCUUGUUUACUGGUGCGUAUUUGUGGUAGGGCUCAUGGAUCUUGCUCGCCACAUCUUUGUCUCCCCGUCCCACUUCUAGGCUGCUUGUUGGGGUUGGCCUUUUUUUUUUCUUUUUCCUCCCUGUCUCUUUUCAUUCCCUUCUGACAGAUUCGCAUCAGGUGCUCGAUCGGAUCUGAGCUCAGCUAGCGUCCAUGUGGUGCCCAAGACAACCUCUCGUUUUCUGCUUUGCCUUGUCGACGUCGCUGGGGUUUGCAGCUCAAUCUAGGCUAAUCCUCUACUGGGCUGCUUGCGGUGAACAGGUUGCUGCUGCUGGAGGUCGAAGCCAUUUCUGCGACGGCGACGCCCAAAUGCCCAAAAUUUCUGCUUCAAGAUCGGCGCUCAUUUGAACUCCACGUGCCAUUUCUGUAUUCAUUUUAAAUCGGAUCGUUUGGAUGUGCCGGACUACAUGGUUUCGGCAUGAUGUGGGUGCGACGAUUCGGUGUAACAGUUGGUCCUUAACAGAACCACUCCGUACUGAUAAUUGGCUGUGCCGUUUACUGUAUGUUUUGCAUGAUG